rnacentral:rRNA from 1 species
UGGGGGAAUAUUGGACAAUGGGCGAAAGCCUGAUCCAGCAAUGCCGCGUGAGUGAUGAAGGCCUUAGGGUUGUAAAGCUCUUUUACCCGGGAUGAUAAUGACAGUACCGGGAGAAUAAGCUCCGGCUAACUCCGUGCCAGCAGCCGCGGUAAUACGGAGGGAGCUAGCGUUAUUCGGAAUUACUGGGCGUAAAGCGCACGUAGGCGGCUUUGUAAGUUAGAGGUGAAAGCCUGGAGCUCAACUCCAGAAUUGCCUUUAAGACUGCAUCGCUUGAAUCCAGGAGAGGUGAGUGGAAUUCCGAGUGUAGAGGUGAAAUUCGUAGAUAUUCGGAAGAACACCAGUGGCGAAGGCGGCUCACUGGACUGGUAUUGACGCUGAGGUGCGAAGCGUGGGGAGCAAACAGGAUUAGAUACCCUGGUAGUCCACGCCGUAACGAUGAUAACUAGCUGUCGGGGCUCUUAGAGCUUCGGUGGCGCAGCUAACGCAUUAAG